rnacentral:lncRNA from 1 species
CCUCUUUCUUACUCUCUCUCGCCGUUCUACCGGCGGGCGAAGGUGUCGCUCGGUUUGAGGGCGUCGACGGAGAUGGAUCGGGCGAACGUGAAGCUGUGAGCUUUUCCGACAACAUUGCUGCCACGUGGCACUAAAGCCGGAGAGAAGGAGGAAACGUACCUCGAGGAUCUGUACAAUGGCUGCUGCUGCUUGGAUUCAGAAACCAGGCGUCUGAGUAUUGCUCUGUUCACUAAUUUUCGGGCACGCUCCAUUUUUUUUAUUUUUUUUAAAGACUGUAAAUUAUGCUAUGAUUUCAAUUCUAUUUAGGGAGGAAGAAUCAAUUAAAAAAAAUUCCAUAAAUAAAGAAAGUGGGUGGUGGUAAUGGGUUGUUGAUGAAUGAUGAUGAAGACACACUUUCUUUAUUUAUUUUUAAUAUGUAAUAUACAAAUAAUAAUUAUUGAAUAUUUACUUUAGUAUAAUGGGGAUUUGAAUCUUUGAUCUUGAUGUAUGCUAUUGUUUCAAUAUAUAUUAUUUUUUAUACAGUACAUGCAUACACAACACCAACUUGUAGAAAAAACUAAUCUUUUCUGCAUAUAAUAAAUUGCUGAAUUUGAUAGUAUUAGUAUUUUAUGUGCAACAGUUUUGAGCGGUCGACGAGGAGCUUGCGGUGGCCAGGUGUGGCGACGGGGAAGGGUUUCAUAGGGGUGGAUUUUCUCCUUUUUUUUUAUUUUACGUUUUAUUUUGGUUUGGGAU